ACCUGCCUCGGCCUUCCAAAGGGCUGGGAUUACCGGCAUAAGCCACCAUGCCCAGCCCAGGAAUUCUUAUAAUAUGAUUUCAACACAUUGAAUGGUCCAUCAUUAAAAGUGAAAAAUGUGAAUAUUCUACUAUUAAUUUAUCCAUUUUUUUUUAAUUUUGAAACUAACUGGCUGUGUGCCACAGACCAUAUUAGACAUGAUACAUAUGAAGACUGGAUGUGUGAUACAUAUAAAAAUAAAAUAUUUGAACUCACAAAAACAGAGUCUAAAAGGGGAAACAGUGUAUGCCAACUACAGAGAAAAUAAUCUACAAGUAAAACCUGUGCUGUUUACUUACUACAGUUAACUGUUUUAUUUUUCUAUAUUUGGCUGUCAUGUUGGUCCUUGGCUCUAACAUGAUGGGCAUCUAUGAAGGAAAUGGGAUAACAGCAUCAGAGCUUGGGAAAAAGAUAAUUUAUGGUUGAGGAUACAAGAAGCCAAAUCAAGGGCAUAAAUUCAUAACUGACUUAAAAUUUAAAAUCUUAAAAUUUAUAAAUUUAUAAAUCUAUUAAACAUACUCCCAAAUUGUAAGAAUAAUUUUUUAUUUACUUCAAAGCAUUCUAAUUCACAGUCUCUUACAACACUUCCAUGGAGAUAAUCAUUUUCAGGUGAGGAGGGGUGACCACAUGUAAGCGAAGCCAUGACUUUUAAAAAUGUUAGGAUUCCAUGUUUGAAAUUAAAAGGCAUGGGUAGAACUUUCUUCCCCUUCGUGAGCUGCAGGAGGCACAUGAUGUGGCAUUAGCCUCUUCUAAUAAGUCACUGACACCACUUUGCUGAACUCAAAAGGCAUGAAGAAAAGGUUUCCUUUCUUUGCUUCUACACACCCCCUGGGAAGCUACCAUACUCUCUUCUACAUUAGGUCACUUUUUUUUUCUCCACGCUCUUCUAACUUAACAAAUGUUUCCUUUGAGUUCUUACACAAACACAUUAUAAAUGAUGACCUCCUGAACGGUGUAAUCUGGGAGUGCGGUUGAAUGCUCUGUCCAUGGUAGAGCCUUGAAGUGGCUUCUGAGUAUGAAAGGAUCACGUCCAGGAUCCUCAUGGAUGAUUUUAAUCUCCACCCCAUCUUCAGCAGGACAAUGGUAGCCCAUCAAUGUUUCCCUUUUAUUUAAGAGGUAAAAUUCUCCUGUCCUUAAAUCAGCCAGAAGAUGGGUCUUUCCUUCAGGCAGCAGGUAUAAAAAUGAAGACAGUGCCAAGCAUGGGUGAUGGUGAAUGGAUUCCUGAAGCUUCCUGCAACCCAGGGUACCUCGUGCUUUUUGCUUGGCUGAGGUGGGAGUAGGUUAAGGACCUAUGUGACACUGGCAGGAGGCAGGCAGCCCA
rnacentral:lncRNA from 10 species